rnacentral:misc_RNA from 1 species
CCGAGCUUACAACUCCCAAACCCCUGUGAACAUACCUUUAUGUUGCCUCGGCGGAUCAGCCCGCGCCCCGUAAAACGGGACGGCCCGCCGCAGGAAACCCUAAACUCUGUUUUUAGUGGAACUUCUGAGUAUAAAAAACAAAUAAAUCA